CAASCAACAAUGUUGUGCAUUUGCAGGUCGAGUGCGCCGAGACUUUCGAGAAGGCGAUAUGAGCUCAAUUUUGAGGCCAGCUUGCUGGUACCCGGAUUGGAGGAAUGUUGUUCGUUUUGGAUGUGAAUGGGGGAAAGGUUUUCGGGCUCGUAUGGGUUCGAAUUGGUGUGGGGUGGCAGUUGCAUGCAACAUGUGCCUUCUGCCAAUUCGGUCCUGUGCGAGCUCACAAUCCCACUCUCGGCGUAAAAGUUGGUCAUCUAUCCGACCCGUCUUGAAACACGGACCAAGGAGUUUAUCGUGUGCGCAAGUCAUUGGGUGUUGAAAACUCAAAGGCGCAAUGAAAGUAAAGAAUCCGCAAGGAUACGACGUGUGAUCUGAGCAAUCACGAUUGCCUGGAGCAACAUGGCCCCAUUCUGGUCGCUUGCGACGGGGUGGAGGAAGAGCGGAAAGUUGGUGAACUAUUCCUGAGCAGGAUGAAGCCAGAGGAAACUCUGGUGGAAGU
rnacentral:rRNA from 1 species